GUGAGGAUGUUUCUCUGGAUAUGGAAGGCCUUCGGAUAGAGUAGGCGAGGAGGCGGGAUGGACGCAUGACACUGUCCGUUUUUCGGGAGUGCGGAGUGUACUAGUUGUAUCACGAGAGAUUUCUAUUUCUUUAUCAUUCGGGUGGGGAAAAUGUAUGCGGAGAUACUGUUCCUAUUGGUAAACAUAUGUUGAUACUAAUAUGUCCAUGGGUUAUAAUAUUAUCUUAUGAUAGUUUCUUAUUAGUUCUGAUCGUUGUGUUGGUAGUUGAUGAGAGGGAUAUAAAAAAAAAAAAUAAAAAAAAAAACUGGGGAUGUUUCAGUUGGUAUCAGAGCACACUCCUAAGGGACAGCAUGCGCAAGCCAUCUCGUCAUGAACUCGGCUACUUUUGUCCACAAGCUUGUGAGGAUGUUUCUCUGGAUAUGGAAGGCCUUCGGACAGAGUAGGCGAGGAGGCGGGAUGGACGCAUGACACUGUCCGUUGUUCGGGAGUGCGGAGUGUACUAGUUGUAUCACGAGAGAUUUCUAUUUCUUUAUCAUUCGGGUGGGAAAAAUGUAUGCGGAGAUACUGUUCCUAUUGGUAAACAUAUGUUGAUACUAAUAUGUCCAUGGGUUAUAAUAUUAUCUUAUGAUAGUUUCUUAUUAGUUCU